rnacentral:rRNA from 1 species
GACGAACGCUGGCGGCGUGCUUAACACAUGCAAGUCGAACGGAAAGGCCCUGCUUUUGUGGGGUGCUCGAGUGGCGAACGGGUGAGUAACACGUGAGUAACCUGCCCUUGACUUUGGGAUAACUUCAGGAAACUGGGGCUAAUACCGGAUAGGAGCUCCUGCUGCAUGGUGGGGGUUGGAAAGUUUCGGCGGUUGGGGAUCGACUCGCGGCUUAUCAGCUUGUUGGUGGGGUAGUGGCUUACCAAGGCUUUGACGGGUAGCCGGCCUGAGAGGGUGACCGGCGACAAUGGGACUGAGAUACGGACCAGACUCCUACGGGAGGCAGCAGUGGAGAAUAUUGCGCAAUGGGCGGAAGCCUGAUGCAGCGACGCCGCGUGCGGGAUGACGGCCUUCGGGUUGUAAACCGCUUUCGCCGGUGACGAAGCGUGAGUGACGGUAAUGGGUAAAGAAGCACCGGCUAACUACGUG